rnacentral:rRNA from 1 species
GAUGAACGCUGGCGGCGUGCCUAAUACAUGCAAGUCGAGCGAACAGACGAGGAGCUUGCUCCUCUGACGUUAGCGGCGGACGGGUGAGUAACACGUGGAUAACCUACCUAUAAGACUGGGAUAACUUCGGGAAACCGGCGCUAAUACCGGAUAAUAUAUUGAACCGCAUGGUUCAAUAGUGAGAGACGGUUUUGCUGUCACUUAUAGAUGGAUCCGCGCCGCAUUGGCUAGUUGGUAAGGUAACGGCUUACCAAGGCAACGAUGCGUAGCCGACCUGAGAGGGUGAUCGGCCACACUGGAACGGUGACACGGUCCAGACUCCUACGGGAGGCAGCAGUAGGGAAUCUUCCGGAAUGGGCGAGAGCCUGACGGAGCAACGCCGCGUGAGUGAUGAAGGUCUUCGGAUCGUAAAACUCUGUUAUUAGGGAAGAACAAAUGUGUAAGUAACUAUGCACGUCUUGACGGUACCUAAUCAGAAAGCCACGGCUAACUACGUG